CAGGACGAACGCUGGCGGCGUGCCUAACACAUGCAAGUCGAGCGGGGACAUGGAAGUAGCAAUACGGAAAUGUUCUAGCGGCGGACGGGUGAGUAACGCGUGAGCAACCUGUCCCAGUCAGGGGGAUAACGAGCCGAAAGGCUCCCUAAUACCGCAUGAGACCACAGCAUCACAUGGUGCAGGGGUCAAAGGAGAGAUCCGGACUGGGGUGGGCUCGCGUCUGAUUAGCUAGUUGGUGAGGUAAAGGCCCACCAAGGCGACGAUCAGUAGCCGACCUGAGAGGGUGAUCGGCCACAUUGGAACUGAGACACGGUCCAAACUCCUACGGGAGGCAGCAGUGGGGAAUAUUGGGCAAUGGGGGAAAAACCCCCUGACCCAGCAACGCCGCGUGAAGGAAGAAGGUCUUCGGAUCGUAAACUUCUAUCCUUGGUGAAGAUAAUGACGGUAGCCGAGAAGGAAGCCCCGGCUAACUACGUGCCAGCCGCCGC
rnacentral:rRNA from 1 species